rnacentral:misc_RNA from 1 species
ACGGACGAAGGUGAUUACAACAUCAAGCUGCGGAAUUUGAUCAGCUUUCUGGAAGAGGGUGAUAAGGCCAAGAUCACAUUACGUUUUCGCGGACGUGAAAUGGCACAUCAGGAAUUCGGCGUGCGUCUGCUGGAGCGAUUGCGCGGUGAUCUGGAGCCACAUGCAGUGGUCGAGCAGUUCCCCAGAAUGGAAGGACGGCAAAUGGUGAUGGUGCUGUCUCCCCGGAAGAAGGAAGUAAAAAUACCCAAGCCAAAGGCAGUUACUGAAACUGAUGCUGGUGGCGGUUAAGAUAUAGCCCGGCGCAACUGCAGCAGUACCGU